UAUGUACUCCCUCCGUCCGGAAAUACUUGUCAUCAAAAUGCAUAAAAGGGGAUGUAUCUAGAUGUAUUUUAGUUCUAGAUACAUCCCUUUUUGUCCAUUUUGAUGACAAGUAUUUUUGGACGGAGGGAGUACAUC
rfam:Triticum aestivum genome assembly, contig: Triticum_aestivum_CS42_TGACv1_scaffold_130112_2BL